GAUGAACGCUGGCGGCGUGCCUAAUACAUGCAAGUCGAGCGAACAGACGAGGAGCUUGCUCCUCUGACGUUAGCGGCGGACGGGUGAGUAACACGUGGAUAACCUACCUAUAAGACUGGGAUAACUUCGGGAAACCGGAGCUAAUACCGGAUAAUAUAUUGAACCGCCUGGUUCAAUAGUGAAAGCCGGUUUUGCUGUCACUUAUAGAUGGAUCCGCGCCGCAUUAGCUAGUUGGUAAGGUAACGGCUUACCAAGGCGACGAUGCGUAGCCGACCUGAGAGGGUGAUCAGCCACACUGGAACUGAGACACGGUCCAGACUCCUACGGGAGGCAGCAGUAGGGAAUCUUCCGCAAUGGGCGAAAGCCUGACGGAGCAACGCCGCGUGAGUGAUGAAGGUCUUCGGAUCGUAAAACUCUGUUAUUAGGGAAGAACAAAUGUGUAAGUAACUAUGCACGUCUUGACGGUACCUAAUCAGAAAGCCACGGCUAACUACGUG
rnacentral:rRNA from 1 species